rnacentral:tmRNA from 1 species
GGGGCUGAUUCUGGAUUCGACGGGAUUUGCGAAACCCAAGGUGCAUGCCGAGGGGCGGUUGGCCUCGUAAAAAGCCGCAAAAAAUAGUCGCAAACGACGAAAACUACGCUUUAGCAGCUUAAUAACCUGCUUAGAGCCCUCUCUCCCUAGCCUCCGCUCUUAGGACGGGGAUCAAGAGAGGUCAAACCCAAAAGAGAUCGCGUGGAAGCCCUGCCUGGGAUUGAAGCGUUAAAACUUAAUCAGGCUAGUUUGUUAGUGGCGUGUCCGUCCGCAGCUGGCAAGCGAAUGUAAAGACUGACUAAGCAUGUAGUACCGAGGAUGUAGGAAUUUCGGACGCGGGUUCAACUCCCGCCAGCUCCACCA